GAUGAACGCUGGCGGCGUGCCUAAUACAUGCAAGUCGAGCGAACAGACGAGGAGCUUGCUCCUCUGACGUUAGCGGCGGACGGGUGAGUAACACGUGGAUAACCUACCUAUAAGACUGGGAUAACUUCGGGAAACCGGAGCUAAUACCGGAUAAUAUAUUGAACCGCAUGGUUCAAUAGUGAAAGACGGUUUUGCUGUCACUUAUAGAUGGAUCCGCGCCGCAUUGGCUAGUUGGUAAGGUAACGGCUUACCAAGGCAACGAUGCGUAGCCGACCUGAGAGGGUGAUCGGCCACACUGGAACUGAGACACGGUCCAGACUCCUACGGGAGGCAGCAGUAGGGAAUCUUCCGCAAAGGGCGAAAGCCUGACGGAGCAACGCCGCGUGAGUGAUGAAGGUCUUCGGAUCGUAAAACUCUGUUAUUAGGGAAGAACAAAUGUGUAAGUAACUAUGCACGUCUUGACGGUACCUAAUCAGAAAGCCACGGCUAACUACAUG
rnacentral:rRNA from 1 species